UACGGGGGGAGCAAGCGUUGUUCGGAUUUACUGGGCGUAAAGGGCGCGUAGGCGGCCACCGCAAGUCGACUGUGAAAUCUCCGGGCUUAACCCGGAACGGUCAGCCGAUACUGCGGGGCUAGAGUGCAGAAGGGGCAACUGGAAUUCUCGGUGUAGCGGUGAAAUGCGUAGAUAUCGAGAGGAACACCUGCGGCGAAGGCGGGUUGCUGGGCUGACACUGACGCUGAGGCGCGAAAGCUAGGGGAGCAAACAGG
rnacentral:rRNA from 1 species